rnacentral:lncRNA from 1 species
UAGGCAUCAUUUUGCAUAGUGGGCUAGUAAUAUCCUUAUCGGAGGAUCUUGUUGGACCGCAACUUACCCUCCAAAUGGUUAUCAUAGAUAUCCUCGUAUACCUCCUGAAGGGCAUAGUCAACUUCGGAAGGUCGGAGACACUUGAGCAGAAGUAGGGAUGCUGACCUCCUGUAGAGUUGAUCGUCGAUGAUCACGUAUCGGGCCGCUAGUCUCUUUAGCCGACGUGCCUCGACGGGAUCAGUCGGUAGGGUUUGAUCGGUCAAGUAGUCAAUGAAUGGGUCGACCCAGCUCGGUUCAUGUCCGACUUGCACUUGGUGAACUUCUUCCUCCGAGUCGAUGCUCGAGUUCUUGAGAUGCUCGAUGAAUAUUUUUUCAAGUUCGCCGCAACCAGAGAUAGCGAGAUGAGAUAGGGAGUUGGCUCGGGUAUUCUCCAAGUGGAGAAUAUGAAAAAUCUUGAAAUGGUUGAAAUGUGACUGUAGAGACUUAAGCUUUCAUAGAUACUUGAAAAAAAUAGAAUCUCGGACCGCAUAUGCACCUCGGGAUUGCCCAAUGAUGAGCUGAGAGUCAGUGAACACCCGUAAGCACCUCAUGUUGAGAUCUCCAAUGAUCCUUGGUCCGACUAUUAGAGCUUUGUACUCUAUCUGAUUGUUCAAUGCUUUGAAACCGAACC